rnacentral:rRNA from 1 species
AUUGAACGCUGGCGGCAUGCUUUACACAUGCAAGUCGAACGGUAACAGGGUGCUUGCACCGCUGACGAGUGGCGAACGGGUGAGUAAUGCGUCGGAACGUGCCGAGUAGUGGGGGAUAACGCAGCGAAAGUUGUGCUAAUACCGCAUACGUACUGAGGUAGAAAGUGGGGGACCUUCGGGCCUCACGCUAUUCGAGCGGCCGACGUCUGAUUAGCUAGUAGGUGAGGUAAAGGCUCACCUAGGCGACGAUCAGUAGCGGGUCUGAGAGGAUGAUCCGCCAAACUGGGACUGAGACACGGCCCAGACUCCUACGGGAGGCAGCAGUGGGGAAUUUUGGACAAUGGGCGAAAGCCUGAUCCAGCCAUGCCGCGUGUCUGAAGAAGGCCUUCGGGUUGUAAAGGACUUUUGUCAGGGAGGAAAUCCCUAGCGUUAAUACCGCUGGGGGAUGACAGUACCUGAAGAAUAAGCACCGGCUAACUACGUGCCAGCCGCCGCCGUAAAAC